CAUCUAAGGAAGGCAGCAGGCGCGUAAAUUACCCAAUCCUGACUCAGGGAGGUAGUGACAAGAAAUAACGGACCGAGGCCCUCGGGCUUCGGGAUUGCGAUGAGCCGAAUUUACACCCCUUAGCGAGGAUCGAUUGGAGGGCAAGUCUGGUGCCAGCAGCCGCGGUAAUUCCAGCUCCAAUAGCGUAUAUUAAAGUUGUUGCAGUUAAAAAGCUCGUAGUUGGAUUUCUGGGAGGGUGCCAAUGUCCGCCGACGUGCGUGCGCAGCGGCGCCCUUCCAUCCUUCUGUUAACGCCUCUUGGCAUUCAUUUGCUGGUGGCGGGCUCAGAUAUUUUACCUUGAGAAAAUUAGAGUGUUUCAGGCAGGCUAGGCCGGAAUACAUUAGCAUGGAAUAAUGGAAUAGGACUACGGUCUCUUUGUUGGUUUGAGGGACUGCAGUAAUGAUUAAUAGGGAUAGUUGGGGGCAUUAGUAUUUAAUUGUCAGAGGUGGAAUUCUCGGAUUUGUUAAAGACUAACUUAUGCGAAAGCAUUUGCCAAGGAUGUUUUCAUUAAUCAAGAACGAAAGUUAGGGGAUCAAAGACGA
rnacentral:rRNA from 1 species